UACGAAGGGGGCUAGCGUUGUUCGGAAUUACUGGGCGUAAAGCGUUUGUAGGCGGUCUUUUAAGCCAGUGGUGAAAGCCCAGGGCUCAACCCUGGAAUUGCCAUUGGUACUGGAAGGCUAGAACGUCGGAGAGGUAAGUGGAAUUCCGAGUGUAGAGGUGAAAUUCGUAGAUAUUCGGAAGAACACCAGUGGCGAAGGCGACUUACUGGACGACUGUUGACGCUGAGGUGCGAAAGCGUGGGGAGCAAACAGG
rnacentral:rRNA from 1 species